GGAUGGAUGGCCGAGUGGCUGAAGGCGCUCCCCUGCUAAGGGAGUAUGGGACUAAAAUCUCAUCGAGGGUUCGAAUCCCUCUUCAUCCGCCA
rnacentral:tRNA from 1 species